rnacentral:lncRNA from 1 species
UGGACAAGCAGGUCUGACAGGUUGCAUUUUUGUUCCCAUUACUAUGAUGGGCACGAGGAUUCGUUCCCAUUUUCGUCAGCUGGCAUUCGGUCCUGGAUUUAAACCGCAACUGUGGCUGCAUUGCUGUGAAAUGUAUCACUGCUUAUGACUCACGUUGCAAAGGACACAUUUGUAAACUGACCCACCAUUGACAAAAUCCUCUCUUUCUUCAUUUGUAGGAGGCAAGAUGAGGCAUAGGUUCCUUGUCUGAUUCAUUUCCUGAGGAAAUUUUUACUCCCUGCAUCUUUUUCAGUCCUCAUUCAGUCAGAGAGCAGCAAAGUGAUUAAUACAAAAUCCAUGCCUGACACAGGCUGGAAGAAAGAUGCAAAUUCCUUUAGAACCAGCGCUUAAUUAAUCGCUCAGAAAAACAGUCCACUGCCAAAAAAUGGGGGGGGGAGGGGGUUAUUUUUUGGCUUUUUUCUUUUUCCCCCCUAGUUGAGAAAGCCUUUUCAGUUGGAAAGCCAAUGACAAGCAACGGCACACAGCAAAAUGCACGAAGGACAAAUCCAGCACCCUUUGAAAUCAACCCCUCGGAAGGAAGAAUUAGCAACCUGGACAGUGCUGCAGGCAACUCCAGCCCUCCUGCAUCUGCUGCUCGAUCACACUCACUCACAGCCAGCUCUGGUCCUUCCUCACCACACUGCAGAAAUCCUAGGAGAGCUGCGUAUCUAACAUCUCAGACAAACACAGACAAUGACCAGAAAAUUAAAACUGCCGGGAAUAAAAGAUAACACAAAGAGAGCCCUGGAGAAACUGCAAUCUACAGCCCACAGAUUCUGCUGCUCUUUGAGCAACGGGGCUGCACCAAGAGCAUACCCAGCUCACUUCACCAACUUAAACACACAUAUAUACCCGUGGAAAGCAAAAUGUAACACAGCAGGCAGUGCUAGAGCAUCACAACAAGUCGCGGAUUUAAUGCAAGCUCUUUGGGAUGCACUAAAAGCACCAACUGCCCCUACCGUCCUUGGCACAAAAUGCACCAGUCUGCCUUGGAUCCCCAGUUCUGGGGUUCCAAACAUGCACUGCCACACCACAACCAGUGUGCCUGCCCAUGGCCAUGGCACCAAGGUGCACAGAUAACAC